rnacentral:rRNA from 1 species
UGACCUCGGAUCAGGUAGGGAUACCCGCUGAACUUAAGCAUAUCAAUAAGCGGAGGAUUG